UUUUGGACAAUGGGCGCAAGCCUGAUCCAGCCAUGCCGCGUGCAGGAUGAAGGCCUUCGGGUUGUAAACUGCUCUUGUACGGAACGAANAGGUUUGGCCUAAUACGCUGAACUCAUGACGGUACCGUAAGAAUAAGCACCGGCUAACUACGUGCCAGCAGCCGCGGUAAUACGUAGGGUGCGAGCGUUAAUCGGAAUUACUGGGCGUAAAGCGUGCGCAUGCGGUUAUGUAAGACAGAUGUGAAAUCCCCGGGCUCAACCUGGGAACUGCAUUAGUGACUGCAUAGCUGGAGUACGGCAGAGGGGGAUGGAAUUCCGCGUGUAGCAGUGAAAUGCGUAGAUAUGCGGAGGAACACCGAUGGCGAAGGCAAUCCCCUGGGCCUGUACUGACGCUCAUGCACGAAAGCGUGGGGAGCAAACAGG
rnacentral:rRNA from 1 species